GAGCGAGUGGCGCAACAGGCAGACGCAGCGGACUUAAAAUCCGCCGCCCUUCCGGGCAUGUGGGUUCGACUCCCACCUCGCUCA
rnacentral:tRNA from 2 species